CAAAGACUUACUUUGCUACUGUUGUUAAGCUAUGAGAUGCAGAGUAUUAUGUCAAAGUUGAUGAUGAUGUCCAUGUAAAUAUAGGUACACUGGCAGAAACACUGGCAAGGCACCGUAAGAAGCCUCGUGUGUACAUUGAUUGCAUGAAAUCUGGUCCUGUGCUAGCUCAGAAGGGAGUAAGAUACCAUA